rnacentral:rRNA from 1 species
UACGGAGGGGGCUAGCGUUGUUCGGAAUUACUGGGCGUAAAGCGCGCGUAGGCGGACCUGCAAGUCGGGGGUGAAAGCCCGAGGCUCAACCUCGGAACUGCCUUCGAUACUGCGGGUCUCAAGUCCGGGAGAGGUGAGUGGAAUUCCUAGUGUAGAGGUGAAAUUCGUAGAUAUUAGGAAGAACACCAGUGGCGAAGGCGGCGCUCUGGACCGAGACUGACGCUGAGGCGCGAAAGCGUGGGGAGCAAACAGG